UCCAGGACAGUUUGUUCCACAGCUGAUCUUCCUGCUGUCUCUCUUCGGAUACCUGAUCUUCCUCAUCCUCUAUAAAUGGUGCAUCACUCUACGCUCUGAAACGGCUCUCUUCAUCAACAUGAUGCUGUUUGAUUACCAGUCUGAGUAUUAGCUUCUUUACGCAGGACAGGUUUGGAUUCAUGCUCCUCGAAAAGCAGUUGGCAUUUCAUAGCUGAAGUACUCAGCUUUACCGAUUAUGACUGACGCUGUAAUGCUCUACAGAAAGCGGUUCAGAUCUUCUUGGUUGUGACGGCUAUGCUCAUGGUUCCUGUGCUGCUUCUUCUCAAACCCUUCCUCAUCUACAGGACCCGCAUGAAAACCAGACACCAGAGCUGUCGGAGGUGCUUUGGCGGAUGGUUCUCCAGGUGAGUCUGAAGAUCUCCUCUGGUACUGCUGUUUGCUGCUUUCGCUGUUCUCACCGUGACUAUUCUUCUGGUUAUGGAGGGCCUGUCUGCAUUUCUGCAUGCUUUACGACUACACUGGGUUGAAUUUCAGAACAAGUUUUAUGAGGGAUCCGGCUACAAGUUCACACCCUUGUCCGUUGACAACCUGUUAAAAAGACAGCAGUAAUGGUUUUUAUACGUGCUAUUCUUGUAGUUUUUACUGUAAAUAUGUGAAUCUAACAAAUGCAUAUUUGAUCUCACGAUUAUUGUUUACAAUGAACUGCUGAAAAUUUGCAAGAUGUAGAUGAGUUUGUUUCUUCAUCAGAACAGAUC